GAAUAAUAAGGUGGAGAGGUUGAGAAAAGCUUUCAAGAAAGGGGAUGAGUGAAAAUGACUUCUAGGGAGAGCAUGUAAUUCUAUCUGUGGAUACUUACACUGAGAUUCUAAUUCCUUACAAAUCUUGAAUCACUUAUUUUCAGUAAUAUAAAAAUAUUGGGAGACAUAGAGAAAGGGAUUAGUUUAAGGUAGGAGUUCUAAACCUGGUAUAUAUCAGAGGGGGUCCAUGAAUUUGAGGUGGGAAAAAAUACAUUUUAAUUUUCAUUAACCUCAACACGUCCUUUUAUUACUUAAAUCUCCUGGAAGGAGAGGCCCAUAGCCAUCACCAGAUGGCCAAUGGAUGUUUAUAGCAAAAAAAGUUAAAAACUUUUGGUUUCAGAUAGGCAAUUUUUCAAGACCCCUUCCAAACGUAAUAUUCUCUGAUUCUACAAUAACAACUAGGAUGUAAGCAUGGCCUGGCAGUUUUUAAAACUCCAUAGAUUUAUAAAGAUCCCAUGAUGGAUGUUUGCUCUCCCACAGUUUCUAGAUGAGAAUUUGAUAUUUCUCUUUGUCUUGGGUGAGGAUCCAAAUAAAAGUCAGAUUUUUCUGUUCUUCCAGAUGCCUUUGUAAGGUACAAAAGAACAACAGGAGGCAAUUCUGGUACCAUGGAAAGAGAAUUAGCACUGGAGAAAGAAAAGUCAAGUUCAAAUCUAGCCUCUGAUACUUUCUGUGUAUGUUUUAGAAAUGAUCAGUUGAUUAAAUUGAUCAGGAAGCUGGACUGACAAUGUAUUUUUGCCCUGAAUUGGUGAUCUUCUUCACCUCCAACCCUCCAGUCUUUGCAGGAGUCACUCACCACAUUGAGAUAUUAGAGAGCAUGAAACCUCAGAAGUGAGAAUGGCCAGGGGAUUCAAAAGCAACUACUCUCUGUUCCAUCUGGGAGGUUGGGUAGUGUCUAACAAGCAGUCCAACAUUCUGUAGUUUUUACAAGAAUAAGUGUCUGUGUCUUUAGAGGUAUGGCUAGUAAUUAUAUUUUCAAUUUGUGAGUUAUUUUGUAUUCUAAAAUCUAUAUUAAACUAAGAAUUUUACUAAAA